AAAUAACCACUUGUAGGUUUUAUUACCCGAACUCCCUCGGGGCCACCCAGGCCACCCACUUGGCCCUUCCAGGAAUACCACCAAUCAGAAAUCCCUCCUCCGGAACUUCCCCAACCAAUGAGAACUCCAAAGUAGCGGGACAGCAGGGGUCUAAUAUACAAUUGAAUACACAGCUUAACAUAACCAUCAUCAUCUCAAUGGCUAGCUGGUCACCUCAGCAAUAAGCUAUUUGCCUGAUCAAUGAGAUACAUUUUUUUGUUCUAUUUUUGCUAUCAGAUGCCAAUUAACUUAUUUUAGUAUUUUUACCUUGUUCCCCCCCACCACCUUUUGGUGUUUUCUUUUUUGAGACAGAGUCUUGUUAAGUUUCCCAGGCUGGCCUCCAGCUUGCAAUCCACCUGCCUCAGCCUCCUGAGUAGCAUACAC
rnacentral:lncRNA from 1 species